rnacentral:rRNA from 1 species
CCCUAGCCCUUCAGAGGGGGACAACAGUUGGAAACGACUGCUAAUACCGCAUACGAUCUAACCUCGGCAUCGAGGAUGGAUGAAAGGUGGCCUCUAUUUAUAAGCUAUCACUGAAGGAGGGGAUUGCGUCUGAUUAGCUAGUUGGAGGGGUAACGGCCCACCAAGGCGAUGAUCAGUAGCCGGUCUGAGAGGAUGAACGGCCACAUUGGGACUGAGACACGGCCCAG